rnacentral:rRNA from 1 species
GACGAACGCUGGCGGCGUGCUUAACACAUACAAGUCGAACGAGUGGCGAACGGGUGAGUAAUACGUGAGUAACCUGCCCUCCUUUUUGGGAUAAGCCUUGGAAACUGGGUCUAAUACCGGAUAGUGCAAGAUGAGAUCGCGGACUAUCAGCUUGUUGGUGGGGUAAUGGCUACCAAGGCGCGACGGGUAGCCGGCCUGAGAGGGUGUACGGCCACAUUGCGACUUCGAUACGGCCCAGACUCCUACGGGAGGCAGCAGUGGGGCAUAUUGCACAAUGGGCGCAAGCCUGAUGCAGCCAUGCCGCGUGUAUGAGGAAGGCCUUAGGGUUGUAAAGUUCUUUCAGCGUGGAGGCGUUACCCGCAGAAGAAGCACCGGCUAACUACGUGCCAGCCGCCGCGGUAAUUC